rnacentral:tRNA from 1 species
AAGCCUUCUGGCGAUCUGUUUAUACCAAGCCUCUAAGGGGGGAUAGAAGAUGUUUUUUCUUUGAUCAGAUUAUGCCGUUGAAGGUUUUCUGGUUUACCCCGAAGGGCUUGUAGCUCAGUUGGUUAGAGCGCGCGCUUGAUAAGCGUGAGGUCGGAGGUUCAAGUCCUCCCAGGCCCACCACUUAUGAUGGCUUACAGUUAAGUGUUUUAUGGAUUGAUCANUCUUUAGAGAGUUGUUUUUUUGAUAAGGGAAGGGCGGUUUAUAAGAGGAGUGAGAGGCUUAAGCGUUUUUUGAAAAGAGGCUUUUAGCUGUUUAAGGGGCCGUAGCUCAGCUGGGAGAGCACCUGCUUUGCAAGCAGGGGGUCGUCGGUUCGAUCCCGUCCGGCUCCACCAUUGUGUUCAUCAUCAUUGUUGAAAGAAUAGUGUUUGCAAGAGAUCUAAAGAUCUUUUUGCCUGUUCUAUUGAAAUUGUGAAGAGAAG